rnacentral:rRNA from 1 species
AAAAAAAAAGCCCUUGGGAGGGGAACAACAACUGGAAACGGUUGCUAAUACCCCGUAGGCAGAGGAGCAAAAGGAGGAAUCCGCCCGAGGAGGGGCUUGCGUCUGAUUAGCUAUGUGGUGAGGUAAUAGCUUACCAAGGCGAUGAUCCGUAGCUGGUACGGGAGGAUGAUCAGCCACACUGGUACUGAGACAAGGCCAAGGCUACUACGGGAGGCAGCAGUGGGGAAUUUUCCGCAAUGGGCGCCAGCCUGAAGGAGUCUUUUUUUUUGUAAAUAGUCCGCCCACCACUGGUAUCUACACUCGUU